CCGGGUUCUGCAAAGCAGGCUCCUCCCCUUCCUCCUCCCUUCUCUCCUCCCUUCCUCCCCAGCCCAGACUAGCACUACCGGUACCUGAUUUGGGGUAGGUGACAAUGAAGAUGUCGUCGUCCCGCACGUUGCUAGUGUUCUCAGCCAGACUGAGGCUCUCCGGAGUGGGAAACUGAGUCACCUUCCAAGGAAGGAUCUUGUGCCCGUAGGCACCCUGAAAUCGUUCCUGGAUAAUGAAUCUUCCCCAACGUAAAUGUGUGCUACCUUCAAGACAGGAAGAGGAGGGGGAGUCGGGUGGGGGGCAUGGCCCCACCCCUGAGACCUAGGGAUACACAGAUGACCUUGAGAAAGAAGCCAGUGAAGGACACAAGCUCUACACUGCAGCAUUGAAGAUCCAGAGCCAAGAGGAGGAAAUGAGUGCUCAGCGAAACACUUGCAGCCAGCCCAUCACAGAAACAUGUUUCCAUCUUGUUUGUUUGUUUUUGAGUUAUAAUUUUUGUGUAGGCUUGCCUGAAGCUAGCUCUGUAGACCAGGCUGGUCUCGAACUGAGAGAUCUGACUCCCCAGUGCUGGGAUUAAAGGCAUAUGGCACCACUACUGGUGUGUUUCCAUCUUGGCAGUAUCCUCAGAUGACAUCGUUUCCAUUUCUGAAAUUCAGUACACAAACAUCUGCUGUAAAGAAGUCGGGAAUCAAACUGAACUUAGUCAUCCAAAGCCCGGAAUGCGUGGGGGUCAAAGGUCUUGGUGCACGUGCCUCAGGUUAAAAUGAAUGAGGCAGAGAGCUGGGUGUGGUGGCGCACACCUUUAACCCCAGCCCCUGGCUGGCAGAGACGGGUAGAUCGCUGAGAGUUCUAGGCCAGCCUGGUCUACAUAGAGAGACCCUGCCUCAGAACACAAAACAAAAAGUAAAGGACGGGGUAUGGCUGAUGGUAGAGCACUGGCCAGACAUGCCAAGGUCCUUCCUGGGUUCAAUCCUCAGUGUUAUCCAAAACAGACAAAUCUAUUUAGGUUGUAAAACAGGUCUAGCUGUAGAUCACGCAUCUGCCUGCAACCAUGUGUUCAUGUGUAAGCAACUGCCAAGGUCAUCACCACGUGAGCUUCAGGAGAGAAACCUAUGUGUGGUGUGUGUGCGCAUGGGCAUGUGUUGUGUGCAUGUGUUCAUGAGUGUGUGCAUGUGUGCACGU